CCUGCUCCCGUAUCUCUAUCUAGGAACUGAUUCAAUAGUUUAAUUGGUUUGGUUACCGAUGGGGAAUGGGUCUUCUGCAGAAGAGCUAGAAUCUGUGGGCUAUCGGGUCCUUGGGGUACAGGAAAAUUCCCCCGCAAGC
rnacentral:ribozyme from 1 species